UAAUUUAAACUAACUCUUCUCUCUCUCUCUCUCUCUCUCUCUCUAUAUAGAGUAGGGUUACUGUACUCUCAUGAGUACGACCGUCUUCGUACUCAUAAGUCAUUUUCGAUGAUAGAGUUUCUGAAUCGACGAUCUAUUUCAUUAAAUAUGAUUUAGAGUAUUUGAAAUUUCUAAAAAAUAAAUUUCGUAAUUUUUCGAAAUUAUAAUAAAGUCCAUCAAGCGGGUAUAAAAUAAACGGUCAAAAUCGAAACGACAUUCUAAAAAAGAAUGAUCGGAUCCUUCAAUUUAAGACCGGAGUUAUUGAUCUUUAUCUAGACAGUGAAUAGAAUUUUCUAUCAAAAAAUCAACCGAUUCUGAUUCUUUUACACCGUUAAACUAGCAAGUAUUUUAUACCGGCCGUUAAAGAUGAUCAAUUUUGAGAUUUUUCGAUCGUAAAGUAAAUGAUGUCAAAUAAUUAUAAAUUUUAAUUUUUAAAAAUUUUAAAUAUUCUAAAUAACGUUUAACGAUAUGAAUCGUCCAUUCGGAAGCUCUAUCAUAGAAAACGAUUUAUGAGUACGAAAAUGAUUAUAUUCGUAAGAAUAUGGUAGCCAGACACUCUCUCUCUCUCUAUAUAUAUAU
rnacentral:lncRNA from 1 species